AUGGUUGAAUGAGGAAUAAACUUUUUUAAUAGAAAAAUUGAAUUUUACAUUUUAAUUAAAAGGUUAAAAUAUAUUUAAAAGACGAGAAGACCCUAUAGAGUUUUAUAAUUUAUAUUUAAUGUUAAAAAAAAUUAAUAAAUAUUUUUAUUUAAAUAAUUAUUUUGUUGGGGUGAUGAUAAAAUUUAAUUAACUUUUAUUUUUUUUUACAUUAAUAAAUGAAUAAUUGAUCCACUAAUAGUGAUUAAAAAAUUAAAUUACCUUAGGGAUAACAGCGUAAUUUUUUUUUUAAGUUCAUAUUAAUAAAAAAUUUUG
rnacentral:rRNA from 1 species